rnacentral:rRNA from 1 species
UACGUAGGCAGCGAGCGUUGUUCGGAAUUACUGGGCGUAAAGGGUGUGUAGGCGGUUGUUUAAGUUUGGUGUGAAAUCUCCCGGCUCAACUGGGAGGGUGCGCCGAAUACUGAAUGACUAGAGUGCGGGAGAGGAAAGUGGAAUUCCUGGUGUAGCGGUGAAAUGCGUAGAUAUCAGGAGGAACACCGGUGGUGUAGACGGCUUUCUGGACCGUAACUGACGCUGAGGCGCGAAAGCGUGGGGAGCAAACAGG